rnacentral:rRNA from 1 species
UGACGAGUGGCGGACGGGUGAGUAAUGUCUGGGAAACUGCCUGAUGGAGGGGGAUAACUACUGGAAACGGUAGCUAAUACCGCAUAACGUCGCAAGACCAAAGAGGGGGACCUUCGGGCCUCUUGCCAUCGGAUGUGCCCAGAUGGGAUUAGCUAGUAGGUGGGGUAACGGCUCACCUAGGCGACGAUCCCUAGCUGGUCUGAGAGGAUGACCAGCCACACUGGAACUGAGACACGGUCCAGACUCCUACGGGAGGCAGCAGUGGGGAAUAUUGCACAAUGGGCGCAAGCCUGAUGCAGCCAUGCCGCGUGUAUGAAGAAGGCCUUCGGGUUGUAAAGUACUUUCAGCGGGGAGGAAGGGAGUAAAGUUAAUACCUUUGCUCAUUGACGUUACCCGCAGAAGAAGCACCGGCUAACUCCGUGCCAGCAGCCGCGGUAAUACGGAGGGUGCAAGCGUUAAUCGGAAUUACUGGGCGUAAAGCGCACGCAGGCGGUUUGUUAAGUCAGAUGUGAAAUCCCCGGGCUCAACCUGGGAACUGCAUCUGAUACUGGCAAGCUUGAGUCUCGUAGAGGGGGGUAGAAUUCCAGGUGUAGCGGUGAAAUGCGUAGAGAUCUGGAGGAAUACCGGUGGCGAAGGCGGCCCCCUGGACGAAGACUGACGCUCAGGUGCGAAAGCGUGGGGAGCAAACAGGAUU